AGAACGUCGAACAAGCACCGGCCAUGGAAAAAGAGCCAGACGAGGAAGGAAAAACCUAACCUAAAAAACGCAAAAUAACCAAAAAGAUCAUUAAAACAUUUUAAAAUAUUGUAAAACAAUGCGGAACAAGAAACGAAAUUAGAAACAAAAUCUGCAACGCCGAGGUCACGGCAAGCACAAAUAACUUCUCUCCUGUGACUAUUAACAUUAACUAAAAGAAAACGAUAACAAUAACAAAAAGGAAAACAAACAAUUACAUCACCAUCUCUAUCAAUACGACAUAGGAAAACAAAACGAUGAAAAGAACAAAUGAAACGAUAGGAAAACGAACAUAACCUACAAAAUAAAACGGAGAAAUAAUAACAAUUAUACGAAUAAAAACGUAACAACAACACGGAAAAUUACAGACCAGACAACCGGAACAACACGAAGCAUUAACAAACGAUAGGAAAGGAGAUCACAGCAAAAAGAGAGACAAAUAUAUAUAUACAUAUAAAAACUUUCAUUUGAUUUAUACAAAGAUCAAACUAGAAAUUAAGACCAGAUAUUAAUCAACGAGUAAACAUAAGUCUAGAAAUAAGGAAAAAACUCUCUUUUCACCUUUUAUAGAAUAUAUAUAGAAAAACGUAAGAAUUUAAAUUACAAUCUAACCUUUUCUUUUAGAAACAUAACGAAUAAACGGCCGCAUAAAGGCAGAAAUUACCACGAGAUAUUGACAGAAACACGGUAAACAUAUUCACGAACAUUAGAUUAAUUAAAUAACUAGUCCAUAAAUGUAUAUAUAUAUAUAUAUAAAAGAUUAAAUAACAACAACACGAAACCGAUGUAAAUACAGAACGAGCGAAAAUGGAAUACUACCAAACAACAAAAUUAUAAACUACAAGACGAAACAAGAGAUUUAUUCAACAAACCACCCAUCCAUUUAUUAAUAGAGGCUACGCAGGAACUCGCCUGCCUCACGACAAUAUAAAGACAUAAAAACACAUCCAUUUAUUAAGAAAUAUUCAGUAGAAACAGGAAAGGUGAAAUCACCACUCACACACUGAAAUGAAAUAUAAGACACAAGAACACGCCACUACUAUCACAAAGAACAGACAAACAAUUGAGACGAGACAGAGUAAUAAAAAACUUUUUCACACAAGAAUUGAGGAAUGACGAUAUAUAGAAAACACUGAAAUCAGACUGAAUCACAGGAAAACAGAUCAAUCGGCAAACUAGGAAAGAAUAAAGACAAAAAGAACAGAAAUUAUCGUCCUUCUCCUACAAUGUACGACUAUAAGAAACCGACAAUACCGACAACACGGUGAUCACAACCACUGACAACAAGACUAACGGUUCAACAAGUAGAAACCGCCAAUGUACAAACGAUGAAAAACCAGACUAGCAGAAAUAUCUACAGAAAAACGAAAGAACAAACCGAAGCAAAGGAAAAUGAAACACAAAAGGUCAGUUAAUACAGUAAAUAAUUAAAGAUAAAUAGAAGCUCACCUAUCUAUUAAGAUUUUUAAGCAUCAAUCUAGAAAGCAUAGGAAAUACAAAGAACAACAGCAUAGCUAAAGUCGAUAACGAAGGAAUAACCCCGAACCCUCGACCCGGGAUAACAACGAAAGAUAAAAGAAACAUCCGGGUAAAAUUUACAAAUAAAGAAAUAAAAGACAUGUUACUAAUAUAAUUUCUCUUUACAAUUCGAGACACAGAUGAAACAUAAAACGAACGCACGAAAGUGGAAAAUACAGACGGAAAAACUGCAGGAGCAAAGAAAACACACGGAAAACCAAACGUCUAAAAAAGCGACGGACGCAUACCGACCGCAGAGAACAUGAAUCAGACAAGGAGAAACGAAACACGGAACAGAAAAGGACGAAAGAUCGGAACGCCACGCCACAACGACACAGAGUAAGAGUAUACAUUUCUUUUACAUGCAGAAACACUAUCAAUGAAAUUACAACCGAACACGAUCAUACGCUAUUUUUCCAACAAUACAAACUCGACAGAACUGUCACUCUAAAAAAAAAAAAAAACCGAACUUUUACUGAUAAUAGAUAUCAAUGAAAAAUUUUCCUUUUCAUCUUCUUACCAUUCAUGGUCAGUUAAAAGAUUAAAACUGUAAGAAAAAUCUCUCCUCUCAAUCACCAGUAUGAAACAACGCUAAAAGAACUUUUGACAAUACAAGGAACUAACGAAAUCAUGUAAAAAUUGCAAAUGACAUAAAAAUACCGGAAAAAUUCCUGUGUCACGAUUAAGGAUAAGCAACGUAUCUCACAACGAACUAACGAUCGAAAAAACCGACCGAAAAACGCGAAACAGAAAACAACACAAUAAUCAUACAACGAAUUGACAACGACAAAAACAAAAAAAUAAAAUCGAACAAACCUACAUACACUUGUUAAACCGGAAAACUCUAUAAAUAAGAAAAGGAACGUUGUUUAUCCUCAACCGACAAAGAUACAGGAAUAACGAACAAACCCACCCGAACAAAAUAAGAAUAACAAAAACUAUCAAAGACAAACACAACUAUACGUCACAUGAUUACAAAAAAUCGCCUCGACAUUCAGGCACCUAUGAUGGAUAACCAAACGUAUAACACUUUUUAAAAAAUAUAUAAGAUAUUACCGUCAAUACAUACACGAUGUUUUAUUCACAUGCAUGACCACGGCAACCUGAGGGACCGAGAUACCACGAAUCCACACAGAAUAUAAAAAUAUGACAAACAAAACAUCAAACGAGGAACAAACAAUAAGAAAUAAAUGGAAAGAAACGGAACCGCAGUAAGCCAGGAAAACACGAGGAAACCACACGAAAGGAAAACGAAACGAGAAAGGUCAACCCUAGGAAAUAAAACGACACAGCAGAGAACAUACCUACCGAAGCGAAAACAUUACCAGCAGCGAUACCAUUGAAAAUGAACCGACCCACGGGAAAAGGAAACGUCGAUAACACAGGACGCACACCAGUCACGAAGAAUAAGACUCGAACCGAGGGGAACACAACCUGAAAACAGACGGAAACCUUUAAACAUUAGAAUACAAAGACAAAACGUAGAGGUUAAAAGAAUCUAGAAUAGGACAAUAAUAAAAAGUGGCCAGUAUCGUUUCGGUUAUAAGCGGUCAUAAACACUAGCGAUGCUUCAAAAGCAAUUAGUAGUUGAAAAUCGACAAACAAGCCAGCAAACAAAGGGGAGAAAACAGGCGACGCCGACCCACCACUCGCCAAUUAAAAAACUAACUAAUAAUAAUAAUUAAAAACCUACCGGUUUAGACAUGAUAACGAACAGGACGAAACCGUUCAAAGAAACAGAAUCAAACAAUCGACACAAUUAUAACAGAAACGAUACAGCCAAGCGCAAUCGCAGGAACAAAAAUUAUAAGAACGACAAUCGAAAUAACUACGACAUAUUUGUAGAAAAUUCAAACCGAAAACGACGAUUAACUCAAAACGAACAACAAACCCGACAAAAUCACACCGAAACAACACUAUAAACGAACUAUAACAUUUAAGAAAGAAAAACAGACACACGUUAAUGUCACACGAAACGCAUAGACAACAACUAUCGCACGAUUAAACGUACAUAACGACACAUAAACGAACAAAGGUCAAAAGACCAGAAUCCGACACGAAACACUACCGAACAUGUAAACGCGAUAAAGCCACAACGACUGGCCUAGAACAAUCCAAUCGAACGCACAACCAACGAGGUUACUAUAGACAAACGCAAACAAUUAGACUUAUAAAAAAAAGAACAGUACAAGAAACAUUGCAAAAAUACGCGUAGCAUGAAACGAAACAGAAUAUCGCAUCCAAAUAGACAAUAAAACUUUUUCUCUAUAAGAUAAUACAAGUUAGCGAAACAUCAACACGAAUACGAACAAAUUAACCAGAAACAAAAAUCGAAUACCUCCAUAACAAAAGAGAUAACACGCAAAAAGGCCAACACCACGAAGCGUAUCACGAAUAACGGGCCCGUCGACGUAACGUCGAUCAACAACGAAAUCGACAAACUCGAAUUAUUACCUCUAAUAAAAAAUACGGAAACAAGCGACACAAACGUAAAACUACAAUGUAGAAUAUGACCUCAAGCGGGAGGAUCGAACAACGAAACGUUAAAAAUGUAGCGAUAAACAAAACGAAUGUAAGACAAUAGACUAAGAAACGGAAAACGACCAAAUUGUAAAAAAGUCGGAACGCAAAAAGUAGACAUUCAACGUGUAAAAACCGGCAAAGUAUACCGGUAAAAACCUGUAAACGCGCAUAUAUAAACGACGACACGAAUUCAUAAGAACCAAGACUGUAACGAAAUUGUACGUACAUUGAUAAUCGACACACUACAAACGUUGUAGGAAGAAAAUGUAAAAAGCCGCUAAACCAGAACAAGAAACAAACAAUGUAACAACCAGCGAACCAACACACGAUAAUGAAUAAUGUAAACGACUUAUAGAGAUACAAAAGUAAACGACACGAUGACUAUAAACUAUAAAGAACACGUCCUCCGCCGAGGCACUGACACAAUAAAGACAAAUAUUCAGAAAGCUACGAAACUAUGUAAAUUACAAAACGAAAAACACCGAAAACGAGAAGAAACGACUGUAAAAUAAAUCUUUUUAGAACAUGUAAGGAAAGACAAAUUUAUAAAGCGACAAAGACAAAUGUAGAAUACACUCCUAUGUAACGAAGUAAAAUCACGAAAUUAUAAAAACCCAUACUGAGAA